GCUGGAUGAGUACUGCAUCGAUGUCCUUCUGCUGGAGUUGCUGGUACAGGAUGUCCACAUGGGGCAUGAUGUUGUGAAAAACGCUCAAGAAAAAAACAAAGUCUUCGGGUGAAUCUCAUUCCUUUGCUCCAAAGAAAAUCUCAGCCCUAGCCCUCGCUGUUGCGCGUGCACGCACCGUGGAGCAAUGUCCCAAUACCUCUUUAAUGUAGCUUUAAGGGGUAAGGGGGAGGGCUAACAUCCCCUCAAAAUUGAGAUUUUCGAUGGGCACCCUCAAAGCGCUUCAGUUCUGAACACACAAUACCUUGCGAGAAAACGGAAAAUCAAGAAAUAUCCUAGACAAGAUGGAGGACGAAAAGAUGCGACAGGAUUGGAAAAACACAAAUGACUUUGUUGAGUCCACUGCCACCAGCCCCCCCCACCUCUCCCUCAUGCUCCUCCACCCCAGGCACCUCUUCCACCACCCCAGACACCCCUUCCAAGAGGAGAGUGCCAGGGGGCAGGCGAGGCAUGAGGAGAGCGAGGCAAAGUUGGCGGAAUGGUGGAGAAGAUGUGAUUCUCCACCAUUCUCUCAAAAGCUGAGAGAGAGUGUGUGUGUGUGUGUGUGUGUAUUUUUAGAUGCGUGUGUUUGUAUUUUUAGAUGUGUGGUUCAGUGUUUCUUAUUUAAAUAAAGUGUUUCUUCUAAAGUGUUCUUGUUCUUAACCGAUUAUUAUCUAAGGGUGCACUCACUAGGCCAUCUGUCCGUGGCCGUGGCCGUUUUAGCACCUAACCGUGCUCAAAUCUGCCAGUGUGAGUGUGGCCAGUCUGGCUAAUACCACCUUUAACAGUAUUAUUAUUUUUUUAACACUUUAUUUAAACAUGCCAAUUAGAAAAAUAUAAAUACCAUUUCAGGUUAAACAUCUUUACAAUGGGUCUUGCUCGUUGACCGAGACAAUGGCAGCCAGUCUGUCUCUUGUAACAUUACCAGG
ensembl:lncRNA